GGCCCCCUGAAGCUCCCGGCAGCCAAUGGCCAGGCCCGCCCCAACUCGCCCCGGCCGCGACUUCCUGGGGAUUGGCCGCCCACCCCGCGGCCCUCCUCCCCGCCCGCCCCUGCCCAGAGCCUUCCUGGGGAUUGGCUGCCUGCUCCGCCGCCCUCCUGGUCUUUGCGCCUGGCGCGGGCCCCGGCCUUUCUGUCCCAAGGAGUUGAUCGGCUGAUCCGCCGCUACUUUGUAGCGGGUCGCGGGGCAGGGCCUUUACCGCUGCAGAAAGAACCCCGACCCGGGCUGACCUUGGGCCCUGGGACGUUGUCCCUGACGUCUCAAAGAUGCAGCGACCUCGGUUAUAAGCGCAGGUCAAAAACAAGUCAAGCCAUUGAAGCUGGGAUGCUCUAAUGCUGGUAUUUCAACGAAUUAACUGGCAACACCGAUUACUCUACAGUUAGGAAAAUGCCUCUAAGGAAGUAAAAUAUUUUACAUGUAAUAACUGUAUCUGUGCCCUGCCACAGGAGUUAAGAGCAGUAGGACUGUGACAGGACAAUGUGGCAUGUGCUUCAUGUACCCCUUUCACUUAAUUUUCUCAACUGAGGUAGGUACUAUUCUGCCAUUUUACAGAUGAAAAAAUGGGUUAGGUGGGGACUUGUCACCUGAGUAACUCUGAACAAAGAACUUCACAUUUGUAACUUGUGACUGUGUAACUAGUGAGAUCCCUUGAGAUGUGGUGUUCCUGUAUAACAGUAAAAACAUCUAAAGAGAUCGUGCCAGUUUGUGGGGGAAAGGGCCACAAAAGAGCUGUUAAAAAUAUACACUCUUUAACAGUAUUUAAUUACAUUAAACCUAGUUUCCCACAAAGGGAGCAUAUGUCAGCAUGUUAGGUGUUUCUGAUGUAUGUACCGUGAUAAGGUAUAUAAAAGGGGGUUUUAAAGGACACGAUGGUACUAGAUGACUAAAAUAUAUAAAUGUUAGAUGGCAGUGGGGAAGGGCAUGUGAUGAUCUGCAAAGAUGCAUGGAGCCCACUCUAUUACUAGAACAAACUCAUUCCUAGUAAUCAAUUUACUUGUCCAACAAUGGAUUUUUUUUUUAAGUAGCCUGUUUGCCAGUUUACAAAUAACUCAUUUUCCAGAAACUUUAAAUAAAGGUAUUUAA